rnacentral:rRNA from 1 species
GAUGAACGCUAGCUACAGGCUUAACACAUGCAAGUCGAGGGGAAACGAUAUUGGAAGCUUGCUUCCGUUAGGCGUCGACCGGUGCACGGGUGAGUAACGCGUAUCCAACCUGCCCACCACUUGGGAAUAACCUUGCGAAAGUAAGACUAAUGCCCAAUGAUAUCUCUAGAAGACAUCUGAAGGAGAUUAAAGAUUUAUCGGUGAUGGAUGGGGAUGCGUCUGAUUAGCUUGUUGGCGGGGUAACGGCGCACCAAGGCGACGAUCAGUAGGGGUUCUGAGAGGAAGGUCCCCCACAUUGGAACUGAGACACGGUCCAAACUCCUACGGGAGGCAGCAGUGAGGAAUAUUGGUCAAUGGGCGAGAGCCUGAACCAGCCAAGUAGCGUGCAGGAUGACGGCCCUAUGGGUUGUAAACUGCUUUUAUAAGGGAAUAAAGUUAGUCUCGUGAGACUUUUUGCAUGUACCUUAUGAAUAAGGACCGGCUAAUUCCGUGCCAGCCGCCGCCGUAA